rnacentral:tRNA from 1 species
CGGGGCGUAGCGCAGUCUGGUAGCGCACUACACUGGGGGUGUAGUGGUCGUCGAUUCAAAUCCGGCCGCCCCGA